CUAUAAGUACAGAUCCCCACGAUGUUGAUCUAGGAAGAACAUCAUACACACACAUUAGCUUAUCAAUAUGGCAUGGCACACGAAGAGCAAUAAGGUGUUGAUAUGCUUGUGGCUUGUGAUGAUGCUUCUCUUGUCAUCCGAAGAGAUUGGAUCAGAUGCAUGCGACAAACAGGUUAGCAAGACAUGGCCGAAAUACUUACCAUGUGUUGUGAACGGCAAAUGCAACGACCCUUGCAAGAACGAGGGGUUCGACAGCGGCCGGUGCACGAAAUUUACUACAUGCUUAUGCUAUAGGAACUGCACCGGUGUACGGCGAUUGCUGUAGCGAUAUAUAUUUUAUUGAAUAAAUAAAUCAAGAAGCUCCUUAGACA